ACUUGUUUUAGCUCUAGCUACUAUAGAUUUAUUUUAGUAAUCCAUCUUCCAGAUUGUUUAUGAAUUACAAGUGGUGAAAAAGCGAGAUGUUAGUUGAUGAAUAUGGUUGGUGAAAUUCAUCACCAAGUUAUUUUAUCCCACAUAUCCUACAUUUUAUAUCUUUCACGUUGGAUUGUUAUUAAGACUUCUAUUUACCUUGAUCAUUAUAUCUGGAUACAUUUAUAGUCUAUUGAUUUAUAGAACGAAUAACAACCUUUUCCAGGAAGUCCAUGUGUUUUGGCUGCUUUCUUUUACUCUCCUCUUGUUAGCUAUGGGGUUAUGGCUAUACUAUUUCCAUUGUUUGUUCUGACUGCAACAGGCUCAGAAGCAGACAAAGUUAUUGCAUCUCAGAGAAAAAAGUGGAAUGGUGCUCGAUUGGGAAGGAUUCCUAUAUUCUUUUCUUCUGAUUAUUUAUCGAUGAAAGUGCUGUCUCUGUUUCCGAUUGGAUCACACCGACAGGCGCAUGUCCAGAAAGCUCAGUGAUUAUCUGAAUUUGGAUAGGGGCGACGACUGACCAUUCAUGUAAUUCUUCAACAACUAAAGAGAAUAAUUUACCAGUGGAAGAUUUCCAACCUGUAAAUAACCAAGAAAACAAAACAAGUGCUCUAUUUGUUUGUUCAAUGCUGUAUCUGUUUAGCCUGGUGUAAAUUUUAGGGAAUCUCGACGGUGUACUGGCUCUUGAAGGAAUAAUGUAUAAGGUCAUCUGUUUCGCAUGGAUCUGUUCUGGAUGUCUAACUACGACAAACAGUAUCAGAAAUCCCAAGCAUGCCCAUGUAAUUCACAGCAACAUGUUUAAAGAACAAAUAUUUGAAUUUGUCUAUGGUUUUGCUUUUUAA